rnacentral:rRNA from 1 species
GGGCCCGCACAAGCGGUGGAGCAUGUGGUUUAAUUCGAUGAUACGCGAGGAACCUUACCAGGGCUUAAAUGGGAAAUGACAGGGGCAGAGACGCCCCCUUCUUCGGACAUUUUUCAAGGUGCUGCAUGGUUGUCGUCAGCUCGUGCCGUGAGGUGUCAGGUUAAGUCCUAUAACGAGCGCAACCCCUACCGUUAGUUGCCAGCGUGUAAUGACGGGGACUCUAACGGAACUGCCGGUGCAAACCGUGAGGAAGGUGGGGACGACGUCAAAUCAUCACGGCCCUUACGUCCUGGCCACACACGUGCUACAAUGGUAGGUACAGAGGGAAGCCACCCCGUCAAUUCCUUUGA